rnacentral:tRNA from 1 species
GCAGUUGUGGCUUAGUGAUAGAGUGCUUGCCUAGCAUGUGUGAAGCACUGGGUUCAAUUCUCAGCACUGCA